UACGGGGGGAGCAAGCGUUGUUCGGAUUUACUGGGCGUAAAGGGCGCGUAGGCGGCACCGCAAGUCGACUGUGAAAUCUCCGGGCUUAACUCGGAAAGGUCAGCCGAUACUGCGGGGCUAGAGUGCAGAAGGGGCAACUGGAAUUCUCGGUGUAGCGGUGAAAUGCGUAGAUAUCGAGAGGAACACCUGCGGCGAAGGCGGGUUGCUGGGCUGCACCUGACGCUGAGCCGCGAAAGCCAGGGGAGCGAACGGG
rnacentral:rRNA from 1 species